CCUGGGAACUGCGUUNUGAACUGGUAAGCUAGAGUGUNUCAGAGGGGGGUAGAAUUCCACGUGUAGCAGUGAAAUGCGUAGAGAUGUGGAGGAAUACCGAUGGCGAAGGCAGCCCCCUGGGAUANCACUGACGUUCAUGCUCGAAAGCGUGGGUAGCAAACAGGAUUAGAUACCCUGGUAGUCCACGCCCUAAACGAUGUCAAUUAGCUGUUGGGCAACUUGAUUGCUUAGUAGCGUAGCUAACGCGUGAAAUUGACCGCCUGGGGAGUACGGUCGCAAGAUUAAAACUCAAAGGAAUUGACGGGGACCCGCACAAGCGGUGGAUGAUGUGGAUUAAUUCGAUGCAACGCGAAGAACCUUACCUGGUCUUGACAUGUACGGAAUCUCUCAGAGACGGGAGAGUGCCUUCGGGAACCGUAACACAGGUGCUGCAUGGCUGUCGUCAGCUCGUGUCGUGAGAUGUUGGGUUAAGUCCCGCAACGAGCGCAACCCUUGUCAUUAGUUGCCAUCAUUAAGUUGGGCACUCUAAUGAGACUGCCGGUGACAAACCGGAGGAAGGUGGGGAUGACGUCAAGUCCUCAUGGCCCUUAUGACCAGGGCUUCACACGUCAUACAAUGGUCGGUACAGAGGGUCGCCAAGCCGCGAGGUGGAGCCAAUCUCACAAAACCGAUCGUAGUCCGGAUUGCACUCUGCAACUCGAGUGCAUGAAGUCGGAAUCGCUAGUAAUCGCAGGUCAGCAUACUGCGGUGAAUACGUUCCCGGGUCUUGUACACACCGCCCGUCACACCAUGGGAGUGGGGGAUACCAGAAGUAGGUAGGAUAACCGCAAGGAGU
rnacentral:rRNA from 1 species